UAACAGGACACCGAAACAGCCUGCCCUGGCCAUCAUAUCCCUUCUUUUCCGGGUAGGCUAUACUAGGUUAUUAACUUAUCCUGGAAAUGAUAAUAGUAUAUUAAACAAAUCCCAGUACCACACCAAAAGGAGGCAGCAAAUCAGAGCUAAACAUAUCUAUCUGCGUUUUAUUUCCACAUGUAAGAGAGCAACACAAAACAGGUUUAUAAUAUUUGGAUGUUUUAUUUUCUUUAAAUCAAGCAGGUUACAUUUCAUUCGUUUACACAAUCUGAUAUUUGGAGCCAUUUGCAAAUAUGCUCAAAUUACAUGAUUUGUAAUCAAUCAAAAAAUCAUACAAGAAUGAGGUGGUUAAUGAACAAUAUUGGGAUCAACAGUGAUCACCCUACUAAUGUAGGCAUUACGUAUGCAGGCAGAAAAAGAAAUGUUCCCAUUAAGGUCUCAUGUGAAACACCACAGGUCUGAAAUACUCAGGAACACAUGAAAAUGGCACAAAAAUGAAUUUCACUCUCCAACCUUUUGCUAAAGAGACGUUGACAGGCCCACAGAGAGCCUGGAGCUCACGGGACAACAUUCACACACACAUUCUGCUUCAUGAAGAGGUCAGAUUAUCGUCAGACCAUAGACAUUACAUUCAAGGACACUGAACAUUUGGCGAACAAAGGUUCAAAUAUCCUCCAAAGCACUUCAAGCCCUCAAAGAAUGAAACUCAAAACGCAGAUGAGGUAAAAGAAGAAACUUCUUAAUUAAAGUGGAGCGACCCAGGGACAAGUCUGGUUUGGGUUAAAGAUUAUGGAUGGUUAACUUUGUGUAACGUGUUUGGACAAGCAAGUUUAGGUUUUAGGCAAGGGACUACAGGUAUUAGGCAAGCGAGUUUAGCCAAGCGAGUACAGGCAAGCGAGUCAAGCUAAGCAAGUUAGGUUUUAUGCAAGCAAGUUCAGGUAUUAGGCAAGCGAGUUUAGGCAAGCGAGUUCAGGUAUUAGGCAAGCGAGUAAUAGGUAUUAGGCAAGCGAGUUUACGCAAGCAAGUUCAGGUAUUAGGCAAGCGAGUUCAGGUAUUAGGCAAGCGAGUUUAGGCAAGCAAGUUCAGGUAUUAGGCAAGCGAGUUUAGGCAAGCGAGUUUAGGUAUUAGGCAAGCGAGUUUAGGCAAGCAAGUUCAGGUAUUAGGCAAGCGAGUUUAGGCAAGCAAGUUCAGGUAUUAGGCAAGCGAGUUUAGCCAAGCAAGUUCAGGUUUUAUGCAAGCGAGUUUAGGCAAGAGAGUCAAGUUACUUUAGGCCUCACUUUAUUUGAGGUUAAAUUGCGGCAUUAGGUUUAGAAAGAAGGUUAAGAUCCAGGCUCAGGUUUGCUUCCAGCCUCGUCCCUCUAGUCACUCCCUAUAAAGAGGGUUCCCAGCUACCGUGUUAAAAUACAACAGCUGGGAUUACAGAUAUGGAGUACAGAAAUAAAUGACAAAGAUUGAUUCAAACAUUCUUCCCCCAAAAUGUGGUGCAACAUAAUGGAGAAAAUAUUUACUUUCUCUCCAUUGAAACCCAGUCAUAUUUUACGAUCUCACGAGGUCCCGCCGCAAGGGGCGGACUUACAAGCUCUAUAGAGUGUGCACUGUGUGUUAAUGUUGGGUGUGGAUUAAUGUGCUGGUGUAGCCAGGGAUCCUCAGGGUUUAUGGGGAGUAGGACACACUGGUGUAGUUCAGUACUCGUUGGGUCUCUGCACCAUGACACCCAGCUGCCGCACAUCUGGUCUCCCUUUAAGUUGCCUGAAGGAGAGGUCAACUUAAUUGAACC
ensembl:lncRNA